GCAUGGUUGUCGUCAGGCUCGUGCCGGUUGACGGUGUCGGGUUAAGUCCCAUAAACCGAGCGCUAACCCUACCUUUAGUUGCCAGUCCAGGUUAAGCGUGGGGACUCUAAGGAAACUGCCUACGCAAGUAGUGAGGAAGGCGGGGAUGACGUCAAAUCAGCACGGCCCUUACGUCCAGGGCUACACACGUGCUACAAUGGCCGAUACAGAGGGCAGCUACCUGGUGACAGGAUGCAAAUCUCCAAAGUCGGUCUCAGUUCGGAUCGGAGUCUGCAACCCGACUCCGUGAAGUUGGAUUCGCUAGUAAUCGCGCAUCAGCCAUGGCGCGGUGAAUACGUUCCCGGGCCUU
rnacentral:rRNA from 1 species